rnacentral:lncRNA from 1 species
UCCCUCAUUCCCCUUCCCCAACCUUCAGAGACCAGUAACCCUAGCAGCCGCCGCAAAUCCCCAAACCUUCACCCGCUGGCGGCGCCGCACCAAACACCUCCAUCUUCUAACCGGACAACCCCCACACGUUCCUCACCUUAUAUCUCCCUUCCAUUAUACUAGAAACCCCACCCAAGUCUGUGAAUUUCAGAUCUAAAGCGCCUAGAACCCUAAUUCGUCCUUGUGCGAUUUGUUUGGAGUAUCUGGUUCGAUUUGGGUCAAGAUUCAUUUGAAUUGAUUGCUCUUGAUAAGAGCAAUCGUGUUGCGUUUAUUUCGACCCAUUUCGAAGUCAUCGAAUUUCGACCAAGUUACCACUGACCAAUCAAGCUGCAUCAUUUUCAUUGCUUGUCUUCUUGAUGUGUUUGUUCAUUCAUGACCGGCCAAAUCAAUGUACCCCCCCCCCUCCCUUUUUACUUGUUUCCAUUUUCUGUUGUUUGAAUCCUCAGUUAGAAGUUAAUAACUGUUUUGAUUAGUUCAAUUAAGAUAGGUUAUUAGGGUAAUUGCUUGGUUAGUUAGUUAAUUGCAUAUCUUAGAUUACCAAUUAUAUGCAGUUAUUAGGGCCGAAUACUCCUAAGUCGUUUGUUCGUGGUUCUAUUGAUUCACUUAUUUGGUUCAUAAGCUUCCAAUUGUUGCUAUGUUGAUUAAGUUGUUUUUGCUUGAAUCAUUUGAUUUUCCCCGAGACUCAAUUCUUUCCCUCCCUGCAUUUUUUUUUUCUUUUCGUUUUGACAUAAACAACCCUAUUUAUUUGAGCUUCAAUGCUCGUUGAUUGAUGGUUUGAAGUUUGUGAGUUUUGGGCUAUAGUAUUCGGGCCCAUGGGUUGGGUGAGGUUUUGUUUUAAGAUGGCCCAUAUCUAUUUUGGUUUUAGAGGAUAAAUAAUAGUUGUUUAAGGGGUAGUUUAGGGAAAUAGGAUAGGGAAAUCUUUUGUAACUGCAUUAGGAAGCUUCUAGGUAAGUGGGGGAAGGGAUUUGGCUUGCAAAACUGAUUUUGAAUUGGGGUUUGAACCAAAUAAAGAGAAUUUGGGGAAGGGGUAAAUGACAAUUAACAAAAUCUUUACUGCUGCCCUAACCCCCUAUAAAAGCCUCAUUUCCUGAAAUUUUCAAAGAAAUCAGAGCUGGAGAAAUCAGAGACGGCUAAAAGAGAAUAUUAAACACUGAAAAGAUAUGAAAAAUCAGAAGAAAAACAAAAAACAACACAACACAAAACACUGUUUCAUUGAAGCUUUGUGUGUCAUUCUUUGGGUUUUCAAAAGUUUGAAGUAAUUUUGAUUCUUUCUGGGAUUUUAAGCAAGCUGAAUUUGCUAUUGCUGAUCUGCUGAAGUUCACCUUUUUCUACUGCUGGUCUUCUCACUUUUCUUUUGCUUUAACUUUACCAGGUAUUUCUUGGAUCUCCUUAGCCUAUGAAGUGCAAAAAUGUGAAACCUUGUAACUGAGAUGCAAUUCAAGAUCCUUGAUGUCUAAUUAAUGAUAUUUCAUGUUUGUAAUUUUGUGUUAUUUCAGUUUUCUUUGAAUAUGUUCAUCUAUCUAGUCAUGAUUUGGCUUGAAUCUAGUCUGUAAAUCUGG